rnacentral:rRNA from 1 species
UAAAUAGCCAGGUUGACUUUUGUCGGCCGCCGGCUUCUUAGAGGGACUUUUGGCUCAAGCCAAUGGAAGUACGAGGCAAUAACAGGUCUGUGAUGCCCUUAGAUGUUCUGGGCCGCACGCGCGCUACACUGACAGAGCCAGCGAGUACAUCACCUUGGCCGAAAGGUCUG